AUUGAACGCUGGCGGCAGGCCUAACACAUGCAAGUCGAACGAGUGGCGGACGGGUGAGUAAUGUCUGGGAAACUGCCCGAUGGAGGGGGAUAAAUACUGGAACCGGUAGCUAAUACCGCAUACCAUCGGAUGUGCCCAGAUGGGAUUAGCUAGUAGGUGGGGUAACGGCUCAACUAGGCGACGAUCCCUAGCUGGUCUGAGAGGAUGAACAGCCACACUGGAACUGAGACACGGUCCAUACUCCUACGGGAGGCAGCAGUGGGGAAUAUUGCACAAUGGGCGCAAGCAUGAUGCAACCAUGCCGCGUGUAUGAAGAAGGCCUUCGGGUUGUAAAGUACUUUCAGCGAGGAGGCGUUACUCGCAGAAGAAGCACCGGCUAACUCCGUGCCAGCAGCCGCGGUAAUAC
rnacentral:rRNA from 1 species